AUACACCUGUGAACUGUUCUACUACUUGACGCAAGUCGAGUAUUUUUACAAACAAUGUGUAAUGAACGUCGUUUUAUUAUAACAAAAUAAAACUUUCAACAACGGAUCUCUUGGCUCUCGCAUCGAUGAAGAACGCAGCGAAUUGCGAUAAGUAAUGUGAAUUGCAGAAUUCAGUGAAUCAUCGAAUCUUUGAACGCAGCUUGCGCUCUCUGGUAUUCCGGAGAGCAUGCCUGUUUCAGUGUCAUGAAAUCUCAACCACUAGGGUUUCCUAAUGGAUUGGAUUUGGGUGUUGCGAUCUCUGAUCGCUCGCCUUAAAAGAGUUAGCAAGUUUGACAUAUAUGUCUGGUGUAAUAAGUUUCACUGGGUCCAUUGUGUUGAAGCGUGCUUCUAAUCGUCCGCAAGGACAAUUACUUUGACUCUGGCCUGAAAUCAGGUAGGACUACCCGCUGAACUUAAGCAUAUCAAUAAGCGGAGGAAAAGAAACUAACAAGGAUUCCCCUAGUAACGGCGAGUGAAGCGGGAAGAGCUCAAAUUUGAAAUCUGGCAGUCUUCGAUUGUCCGAGUUGUAAUCUAUAGAGGCGUUUUCCGUGCCGGACCGUGUCCAAGUCUCCUGGAAAGGAGUAUCAAAGAGGGUGAUAAUCCCGUACUUAACACGACCACCGGUGCUCUGUGAUACGUCUUCUACGAGUCGAGUUGUUUGGGAAUGCAGCUCAAAAUGGGUGGUGAAUUCCAUCUAAAAGCUAAAAUAUUGGCGAGAGACCGAUAGCGAACAAGUACCGUGAGGGGAAAAGAUGAAAAGCACUUUGGAAAGAGAGUUAAACAAGUACGUGAAAUUGUUGAAAGGGAAACGAUUGAAGUCAGUCGUGUUCAUUGGAUUCAGCCAGUUCUGCUGGUCUACUUCCUUUGAACGGGUCAACAUCAGUUUUGUCCGGUGGAUAAAGGCAGCAGGAAAGUGACUUCUUUGAAGUGUUAUAGCCUGUUGUCACAUACACUGGAUGAGACUGAGGACUGCAGCUCGCCUUUAUGGCCGGGGUUCGCCCACG
rnacentral:sRNA from 1 species